rnacentral:rRNA from 1 species
AGUUCGGAUUGAAGGCUGAAAUUCGCCUUCAUGAAGCCGGAAUUGCUAGUAAUGGCAGGUCAGCAUACUGCCGUGAAUACGUUCCCGGGCCUUGUACACACCGCCCGUCACACCAUGAGAGUUGGGAAUACCCGAAGCCUGUGAGCUAACGUAAGAGGCAGCAGUCGAAGGUAGAAUCAAUGAUUGGGGUGAAGUCGUAACAAGGUAAC